GGUGUCCCUUCUGGGACACCACCGGCGGACGGCUCAGUAACACGUCGGUAACCUACCCUCGGGAGGGGGAUAACCCCGGGAAACUGGGGCUAAUCCCCCAUAGGUGUGGGGUACUGGAAGGUUCCCACACCGAAAGGGGCUUCGUGCCCGCCCGAGGAUGGGCCGGCGGCCGAUUAGGUAGUUGGUGGGGUAACGGCCCACCAAGCCGAAGAUCGGUACGGGCCAUGAGAGUGGGAGCCCGGAGAUGGACACUGAGACACGGGUCCAGGCCCUACGGGGCGCAGCAGGCGCGAAACCUCCGCAAUGCGGGAAACCGCGACGGGGGGACCCCCAGUGCCGUGGCAACGCCACGGCUUUUCCGGAGUGUAAAAAGCUCCGGGAAUAAGGGCUGGGCAAGGCCGGUGGCAGCCGCCGCGGUAAUACCGGCGGCCCGAGUGGUGGCCGCUAUUAUUGGGCCUAAAGC
rnacentral:rRNA from 1 species